rnacentral:rRNA from 1 species
UACGGAGGAUCCAAGCGUUAUCCGGAUUUAUUGGGUUUAAAGGGUGCGUAGGUGGGAGAGUAAGUCAGAGGUGAAAGCUAGCAGCUUAACUGUUAAAUUGCCUUUGAUACUGCUUUUCUUGAGUAUAGUUGGCGUUGGCGGAAUGUGACAUGUAGCGGUGAAAUGCGUAGAUAUGUCACAGAACACCGAUCGCGAAGGCAGCUAACGAAGCUAUCACUGACACUGAUGCACGAAAGCGUGGGGAGCAAACAGG